rnacentral:rRNA from 1 species
GACGAACGCUGGCGGCGUGCUUAACACAUGCAAGUCGAACGGAAAGGCCCUGCUUUUGUGGGGUGCUCGAGUGGCGAACGGGUGAGUAACACGUGAGUAACCUGCCCUUGACUUUGGGAUAACUUCAGGAAACUGGGGCUAAUACCGGAUAGGAGCUCCUGCUGCAUGGUGGGGGUUGGAAAGUUUCGGCGGUUGGGGAUGGACUCGCGGCUUAUCAGCUUGUUGGUGGGGUAGUGGCUUACCAAGGCUUUGACGGGUAGCCGGCCUGAGAGGAUGACCGGCCACAUUGGGACUGAGAUACGGCCCAGACUCCUACGGGAGGCAGCAGUGGGGAAUCUUGCACAAUGGGCGGAAGCCUGAUGCAGCAACGCCGCGUGCGGGAUGACGGCCUUCGGGUUGUAAACCGCUUUCGCCUGUGACGAAGCGUGAGUGACGGUAAUGGGUAAAGAAGCACCGGCUAACUACGUG